AUCAUGAGACCCAAACCCCCUCCCUUCGAUUUCUUCUCCCCCAUUCCCCACAGACCUCUCCAUAUGGGCAUAAAUCCCCAAAACCCUCGCAGCAAUUUCGGCGUCUUGGCCGAAGAACAGGUACUUGUAACCGACUUCCACCAUCAAAAGGACAUCUGGGUACCUCUUCUUGAGGUCCACCACUCCAAUGGCGUGAACUUGGCAGGGUAUAAGGCCCUAUUCAGUUGAUAGAGACGAUCAUCAAAUCAUGGGUUCACACGAUCCUGUUACGGCGGAUGACAAAGCUACUGUGACGGAGGCCUCAGUGCGCGGCUAAGUUCUUCAUGAGCACAUAAGCAUUGUUAUGAGUGCUACAAAUUUUCUAUUAUCUAUGUGAAAGAAAGAAAACCUAUGAUUGAUAUACUUGCAUUAUCAGGGUUAAUAAUAGUGUUGAGAGGUGGCGUUUCUAACUGAUUAGAAGAUUCAAAUAGGGUUGAAAUCUUGACAGAAGUGUUCAUUUAGGCUCUCUUAUUAGCAAAGAAUUUGAUUCCCUCUUGAUAAAGUUGAUGUACUUCAGAUUAGUCUCUCUCUGAUGUGACAACACUGUUUUCUUACCACUGGUAGGUUAUUUAUUUUGAACUUCAUACUGCUCAUGCUUUAUAAGAAAUUUUAGAGGAUGUUCCAACGGCAUUUCCUCGGGCCAUUAUCGACUUGCGUGAAGUUGUUUAGAAUCAUUGAUGUAACACGUUCAAGUGGCUUAACAUGACUAUUUUUUAGGAAGAAAAAUCACUCAGAUUUCGUGGCUGGAUGUUUAGAAAGCUGUUUGAUGUGGAGGGCUUGUUCUGCAAAAACGAUUCAGGGUUUUUUUUUAUUUUUUUUUAUUUUUAUUUUAUUUUAUUUUAUUUUAUUUUUUAAAUAAGAGAAUCCACAAUGCUGAGAGGGAGAAACAGAAGUGUGAGCAUUUUAACAAUCUUUGUUGAGCUCUUGGUAACUAGUCUUUUUUUUUUGUUAGAAGUUCAAGAUGAUUGCUCUUAGUCUAAUCGUUUUUGAUAUGAUACUAGGUCAUUCUUAAUUUGAGAUAACUCUUGCACAGAAUUAAAUCAGCAGAACAAUGGAAAGGCCUCUAUAUUGUGUCAAGCUAUUCGACUGUUAAAGCACUUGCUUGGUACAGAAGUGUGAGCAUUUUAACAAUCUUGUUGUUGAGCUGGCUGAUGCUCUUGAAUUAAAUCAGCAGAACAAUGGAAAGGCCUCUAUAUUGUGUCAAGCUAUUUGACUGUUAAAGCAAUUGCUUGGUCAGAUUGAGUACUUACAAAAGGAGAAUGCAUCCUUGUUGUCUGAAUCCUACUAUGGCUUGUCCUAGAAAAAAGAUUCACGGGAAAGUUCCUUAGAGAAUCCACAAGGCUGAGAGUUAUAAGAAGAAUAAACUCGAGGAAAGUGAGAUGAGAAACAUAGGUGAAGAAUAAUUGCACAGACCAGAAUGAUAUGUUCUUGUAUUAUCAGCUGUAUAUAUAAUGUACACGUACGGAUUAGACUUUCUCAAGUCUAUUUACAGAAGGCAAGUGAUAUAAGGUAAGUAUAAUUAAUCUCAUAUAUUACAGAAUCAAUUUGUAAACCAAUUCCUAGCUGGGAUGAAGCUGAUCUUGGGAUGAGGAGUCUGUCAAUGCUAAUUUAGUGGGAUCCGCUGAUUUCAUUGAAUGGGCUGAUUGUGUGGAAUCAUGAUCUGCAUGAUGAUUCUCUUUAAGAGUGAGAAAUAUAAGCGUGAGCAUUUUAGCGAGCUUUUUCUUGAGCUGGCUGAUGCUCUCAAUGCGUUGCCUUUUAUUUAUGAGAAGUCCACCAUGACUCUCUUAUUGUAAUCAUUUUUUGAUAUGAUGGUAGGUUAUUCUUAAUUUGA